CACCACUGCAAGAGGGGAAGUUGCUACUGUGAUGAAUUCUGCCAUGUGGUACCAGACUGCUACCCAGACCACAGUGUCCUCUGCAACCCUCCUUCUCAGAUGACCAAGAUGGUGCUGCAGAUGGUGCUGAGGAUGGAGAACCCACCAAGCCCCGCUAGGAGCCACCUAGACUGGAUGUAGAGCAUGGCCCAUCAGAAACUCAAAAGAAUGCUACCUUUGUCUCUCACCCACCUGUGACCUGGAAGCUUUCUCCUGGCUGCGAGUUGUCCCACGUUUGCUUGGCGUUGCCCGGCCUUUUCCAGACUGAACCAAUGUUCAUCUUACAUAUGUUGAUUGAUGUCUCAUGUCUCCCUAAAACGUAUGACCACCUUGGCACAUGUCAGGACAUCCUGAGGCUGUGUCACGGGUGUGCAUCUUCAACCUUGGAACAAUAAACUUUCUAAAUUAACUGA
rnacentral:lncRNA from 1 species